UGUGCUGUAGACUAAUUGGUUAGGUGGCCUCCACGGAAUGGAGGAGAUGUGGGUUCGAAUGCCGCCGGCGCCC
rnacentral:tRNA from 1 species